UACGUAGGGUGCGAGCGUUAAUCGGAAUUACUGGGCGUAAAGCGUGCGCAGGCGGUUGUGCAAGACCGAUGUGAAAUCCCCGGGCUUAACCUGGGAAUGGCGCUUGUGACUGGUAGGCUGGAGUGUGGCAGAGGGAGGUGGAAUUCCACGUGUAGCAGUGAGAUGCGUAGAGAUGUGGAGGAACACCGAUGGCGAAGGCAGCCUCCUGGGCCAGCACUGACGCUCAUGCACGAAAGCGUGGGGAGCAAACAGG
rnacentral:rRNA from 1 species